GACGAACGCUGGCGGCGUGCUUAACACAUGCAAGUCGAACGGAAAGUCCCUGCUUUUGUGGGGUGCUCGAGUGGCGAACGGGUGAGUAACACGUGAGUAACCUGCCCUUGACUUUGGGAUAACUUCAGGAAACUGGGGCUAAUACCGGAUAGGAGCUCCUGCUGCAUGGUGGGGGUUGGAAAGUUUCGGCGGUUGGGGAUGGACUCGCGGCUUAUCAGCUUGUUGGUGGGGUAGUGGCUUACCAAGGCUUUGACGGGUAGCCGGCCUGAGAGGGUGACCGGCCAAAUUGGAACUGAGAUACGGCCCAGACUCCUACGGGAGGCAGCAGUGGGGAAUAUUGCACAAUGGGCGGAAGCCUGAUGCAGCAACGCCGCGUGCGGGAUGACGGCCUUCGGGUUGUAAACCGCUUUCGCCUGUGACGAAGCGUGAGUGACGGUAAUGGGUAAAGAAGCACCGGCUAACUACGUG
rnacentral:rRNA from 1 species